rnacentral:lncRNA from 10 species
GUAGCGGAAAGAUCUGCUCGAGGCCUGGGUGCUUUGGUGUCGGAGAUCCGAGAGUCGGAGAUCGGAGAGUCGGACACAGGACAGUCGGACACCGGACAGUCAAACACCGGAGAGGCGAGGCCGGUCUGUAGCGGAUCACUUCCUUUCGCCCACACAUUGGCGGAGGAGAAACCGGAAAGUUAAUCACUGCCCUGCUCUGAGAACUCGGGCCUUUAGGGGCACGUUCGCCUGCUGACCGGUCUUCUGAUCUCCCCAUUCUUUUCCAUGCAGGAGGAUUGGCCACCAAAGCCUGUUUAUUAGCAGCUGCCAUUUGUUGAAAGAAAUUUGGAUUAUUUUAGAAACAAAUUUGGAAAGAAAAAGAAUGGCGUCCGUUUCAGCUCUAACUGAGGAACUGGAUUCUAUAACCAGUGAGCUACAUGCAGUAGAAAUUCAAAUUCAAGAACUUACGGAAAGGCAACAAGAGCUUAUUCAGAAAAAAAAAGUCCUGACAAAGAAAAUAAAGCAGUGUUUAGAGGAUUCUGAUGCCGGGGCAAGCAAUGAAUAUGAUUCUUCACCUGCCGCUUGGAAUAAAGAAGAUUU